rnacentral:rRNA from 1 species
GAUGAACGCUGGCGGCGUGCCUAAUACAUGCAAGUCGAGCGAACAGAUAAGGAGCUUGCUCCUUUGACGUUAGCGGCGGACGGGUGAGUAACACGUGGGUAACCUACCUAUAAGACUGGGAUAACUUCGGGAAACCGGAGCUAAUACCGGAUAACAUUUGGAACCGCAUGGUUCUAAAGUGAAAGAUGGUUUUGCUAUCACUUAUAGAUGGACCCGCGCCGUAUUAGCUAGUUGGUAAGGUAACGGCUUACCAAGGCAACGAUACGUAGCCGACCUGAGAGGGGGGUCGGCCACACGGGAACUGAGACACGGUCCCGACUCCUACGGGAGGCAGCAGUAGGGAAUCUUCCGCAAUGGGCGGAAGCCUGACGGAACAACGCCGCGUGAGGUGUGGAGGGGUUCGGCUCGGUAAACUCUGUUAUUAGGGAAAAACAAACGUUGAAGGAACUGUGCACGGCUUGACGGUACCUAAUCAGAAAGCCACGGCUAACUACGUG